rnacentral:lncRNA from 1 species
GCAAGGGCGCGCGGGGUCGGCCAGGGGCGAGGCGGGAGCGAGGGUCCCCGGGAGCUCGUGGGGGCUCCCAUUUCCCAAUUGGGGUGCCCUGACUUUCCCCGUGCACACACCUCCUCCCCCCCUUCCUACCCCACCCAGAUCUGCGCACCGAGGAAGCUCGAAGGCCAAACUGUGUGCUCCUGAGAUUGAAGGCUGCUUCUUCAUCAGCUUACACAGCACUGAAGAGUUGAGGAUGCACUCCCAGUCUCUAGAUGCUGGUUUACCCUGCUGUGGUAAAUCCAGGGAAAUCUCAUCAUAUCCAGAAGUCUCCUUCUAUCCUGGGUUCUUGACCUUAGAGGAAACUCAAAGUUCCUAAACCUGUACUGCAGUGGGAGUGAAUAGAAUAACAGGGAAUGGACCCUUCCAAAGGAGUUUCAGGGGUUCACAUUCCACCUUUUACUCACGUAGCAUCUCCUGGCUUGAAAGCAUCUCCUGGCUCAUGCUCAACGGUUCCUUAACUCAGUGGUAUAAGGUAGGUAAUCCUGCGCCUAAUACCUGCAUCUGUUUUCUCUGAAUGAGGUUCCCAAUCUCCUUUUUUUUGUACUAGGAAUCGAACGUGGUUGCCAGGCAGGCGCUGCACCACUGAACUAUAUCACCAGCUCCCAGUCUCCUUUUAAUCCCCUCUUAUGGCCUUAAUGAUAAUUGCAAAAAGAGAAUACUUGAAAGCUUG